UGAGGGGAAGGUGUCCCCAGUACGAGAGGAACGGGGUGCCGUAGCCUACGGUGUACCGGUUGUCUGACAAGGCACUGCCGGGCAGCUGCGCUAUGCUGGAUAAGAGCUGAAUGCAUCUAAGCUCGAAGCCACUCCCGAAAAUAAGCGGCCGAUCCACGACGUGGAGGCCUGGUAACAGGUCGCUGGUCGUGGACGAGGACUGGGACAGAAGAUCCCGUUGAUGGAGUGGAGGUGUACGCUGGAAGACCUCGGUCGACCAGUUCAGCCUGCCACCCCCAAUCGUCCAAGGUGUCGGACCG
rnacentral:ncRNA from 1 species